rnacentral:rRNA from 1 species
UCAGGUAGGACGACCCGCU